UUCACCAAGUGUUGGAUUGUUCAC
rnacentral:ncRNA from 3 species